UACGUAGGUGGCAAGCGUUGUCCGGAAUUAUUGGGCGUAAAGCGCGUGCAGGCGGUCCUUUAAGUCUGUUGUGAAAGCCCACGGCUCAACCGUGGAGGGUCGUUGGAAACUAGCGGGCUUGAGUUCGGGAGAGGGAAGCGGAAUUCCGGGUGUAGCGGUGAAAUGCGUAGAUAUCCGGAGGAACACCGGUGGCGAAGGCGGCUUCCUGGACCGACACUGACGCUGAGGCGCGAAAGCUAGGGGAGCAAACGGG
rnacentral:rRNA from 1 species